rnacentral:lncRNA from 1 species
GCCUGAGCCACCUGGCAGGCGGCCCGGGCUAUCUCAGUAUCCCUAGUGUUUUCCCUGGCUGGCCUCUGCCUCCUGGCCUGGGGCUGACUAAGCUUCCCACACACAGGCCAGGGCUGCCUCGCCUGUCUGUGCGUCAUGGAGAAUUCAACAGUGGCGACCCCAUCAUCAGAACUCCCCAAAUUCUGGGAAGUUCAGAGCCCUCGGCCUGCAGCCCGGGAGGCCUCGUGCCCAGACGCCAUGCACCCUCCGGUGACCAGCUGCCACCUGUCCAUCCUCCAAGACCGGAAAGGCAGCAGCAGCCCCUGGGAGCCCAGGGCUGUCCUUGGUGCAUCCAGCUGCAGAGGGAAAUUGAUGACCUUACACAGCAACUAGUGCCCGGUUCUGCCUCUCUGUUUCAGCGGCCAUGCAGUCCUUCACUGACAAGUUCCAGGACCUUUGAAGUUGGAGCCAGCGUCCGGAGCUGCAGCCAAGCGAGUUUCCUCCUUAUCCUCCUUAGCCAGGGCUUUUUCUCUUCCGCUGCAUUUGCCCCCUUCCCAACGCAGUUCAAAGCAGUGUGAAAUAAAGUCGUUCUCAUAUUCUGUGGUCUGUGGUCUGCCCUCUCUGCGAUUGUUGGGAGUGUUGGGGUGUGCCGGGUGUUGCUCCGUUCCCUGGCGCUGGAAGAACAGUUCCCCUGGCGCUCUGUGGUGGGCCAUCUCCCUGCGGGGCGCCUGGGCGGGCCUCUGAGCAGCAGCCCUGCACUCGGGCUCACCAUA